GCCUUCUCAAUGGUUUGGAAUAGACACUGCUAACAAGAGUAUUAGUAGUAAACUAAGAAGAACAGAGAAAUUGAAUGAAAAGUGAGAACAUGGAGAGAGGCAAAAUGUGCAGGUCUGUGAACUGGAGAUUGGCACUUGCCAUCUGCCUCUGCACAGAUUGACUCAUGAGCUGCUGCAGCUGCUGUCCCUCUACACCCCUGAAAGGAGCUCAGGGCGGAGAUCAGGGUGCAAUCAACAGAUUGGGAAGGAAAAGAGCGUGGCUGGAUCAGGGAGAUUGAAGUAAUUCCACUGAACUCAUUGAAAUUACGCUGACAACCACUUGACAUGGAAACAUGGAGGAAGAAGGCCCCGGAAUCCAUAAUCCUCUGAAGAAACAUCUGCUCAUUUGUCUGAUUUCUCCCUAAUCUGUACACUUCUCCAAAGCAGGAUGUAUAGUCACAGUUGCUCCCGUAUUCCCAAUAAUUAGUCAUAGUUAUGCUUUUUUCAACCCCUUGUACUGCAAGGAAUCUUUCUGGAAUAAACUGUACAGAAUAGGAAGAAUAGGUGAUGGCCUUUGAGAUAUUUUGCAGGACAUAGAAGAAAACCUAAAGGGGACACAAAUCCCAUCGAUUAGUUUCUUAAGAGUGGACAAGUAGAGUGGCCUUAGGAGUGGUCUUCUCUAUUAACCAGAGAUAGCAGGGUACAAAGACAGGACCAACAAAGUUUGUUCAUGGAAAAAGACUUGUUUCAAGGCCCUAAUGCUUUUUAAAACUGUCAUCAAGGCUUAACUAUCAGCUCUGUCUGCUAACGUGAGUGAAGUGUUUUGAAAAGAUGGAGAGAAAGUCAGCAUUAGGAUAUGAUUAUUGUCAUUCAUUUCAAGCAGACAUUUUCUAGCGCCAUUGGCUUAUUUGCCCGGUGUAGCUUUCUCUAACCUCCUGUCUGUGCUGUUGGGAAGAAAUAAUUCCUCCGUGUUAGGAUAGCACUUUUUACACCUCUUUUCAUAACACUGCAACACUUCACGUGCAGUAAAUCAAGAUCUCUGACGGAAGAUGAAAUGGAAAGGAAACUAAGGGUUGAUUAAGUUAUUUGGUCAGACAUAAUACCAGAUUUUUAAAAUAUUCUGUACUUUGUUUUAAUAACUACUUAAUUAUGUAGGUACUAAUUCCCCCCUUUUUUUUUAGAUGAAAAGCUAAAGAGAAAUUAACAGAACCUGACCAGUAGUCAGUAGUCAGUGGUGUUUCCAAAUUCCUAGGUCUUACUUACAGCAGUCAUUACUUUUUCUUCAUAAUUCAUAUAGCUUAAAAUACACAAUGUAGGGUGCCCUCUUUAUUACUCAUUGACACUCUCAUAACCCUUUCCUCCUUGUUUUUGCCCAAGCAAAAGCUUUCAAAUGUCAGUUAAUAAGUGCGACAGGGAUAAAAUAAGAAAAAUUUGGAGUUCCCAUCAUGGUGCAGUGGUCAGCGAAUCUGACUAGGAACUAUGAGGUUGCAGGUUCGAUCCCUGCCCCUGCUCAGUGGGGUAACGAUCCGGCGUUGCCGUGAGCUGUGGUGUAGGUUGCAGACGCGGCUCGGAUUCUGAGAUGCUGUGGCUUCGGCGUAGGCCAGCAGCUACAGCUCCAAUUCGACCCCUAGCCUGGGAGCCUCCAUAUGCCGCGGGAGCGGCCCUAGGAAAGGCAAAAAAAAAAAAAGAAAAAAAAUUUGUGAAACAGUGGUUUCAGACAAGAACUAUCAGUUGAUGUUAAAACUACUUGGUGAAAAUUUAGGAUAUAGAAAGUGGCAAGCAAAUGUCAAUACUGUCUUAACAAUGAGAAAAAAUUAGGUUACCUACAAAAUCAUGAAUUUUCUUGAAACCGUAGGAGAGCUGAGAUUGCAAGGUAAACCAGGUGAAUUCCAAUGAAUGGCAUACCCCUCUGAGAGGAGAUGAGACUAAAGAACUAUUUCAUCUAUGACAGGCAUUAGAGGAGAAAGUAUUGCUGUCAUCAGAGCAGGUAAAGGGAAAAUCAGCUACCAAAUGCUUAAAAUCCAUGUGUAGGAAAGCUUCGUUUAGAAUGACUGCGAGAACCUAGACACGAGGGAAGUUUACCCGUACUCACAAGUUCUGUUCCACAGGUCCCCAGAGGUGUUCUUAUGUCAGGCUGGGUACGGGGCUGAAGACCAUACAGAGACCUCUUGGUGCAGCUAUGUACAUAUGUUCAGAUGGUGGUUGGUUCCCCUGGGGCAAAGCUGCAAAUCACUUCCCUGGAAACAUGUCUCACAUAAAACAGAAAUCUUAAGCCGCUGAUGGAGGGGCAGCACCCCCUCUGAUGUCUAGAGCCCAGGAAAUGUCCUCUUAAGUAAAAGUAAGGGAGAAAGAAUAGGAAAUUCUCCCUUUCCCAGGACCCAGGGAAAAAAAAAAUCCUGUCCUUUUGGGAGAAGGGUAGAAUUAAAAGACCUCUGCUUCUGGAAAAAGUGAAAGAAAAGCUCCUGGACUGAUGCAAAGCAGAGUUUGGCUACUACUGGGAGACAGUUAGGAAACUCUUUCCNNNNNNNNNNNNNNNNNNNNCCAAGACCUGUUGAUGGAAAAGAACAACAGCAAAACCAAUGGAGGGUCAGGAAAGCUGAAAAACCGCUAAAAAACCGUGGCUCCAAGGCCAGGCAUAUAGGAAUUGCCUAAGAAAGAGGCAUGAAGUUUAUUCAUGAUAAUUAAUCAUAGUAAUGACACUAUGUUAUGACUCUUUUCUAAUCGUUUAAUUCACAUGAUGAUACAUGGGCGAGUUGUAAGCCUUGAUUAUGAUUUUCAGAAUCCAUUGGGUGCGCAGAAGUUAUAUCCAGGGUCUAUAAUCUCACUGACCCACCCUCAGUCAUCUUAUUUACAUUCCCCUCUACCUUAGACAGCAUCAGUUCUAACAAGCCUUCUGGAUAUCUAACAUCGCAUCUUCUGUGAGGUCUUUCCUCAUCAGUCUAGGCUGAAUUAAUUUUUCCUUUCAUUCUAGAAAAUUAUGCUGUUUAUCACAUUGUACUGUAAUGUCUUUAAUUUUGCAAAGUUAAGGCUAAUCCCAAGCCUAUACAUUUACACGCUCUAGUAUGCAAAUAUAGUAUCCAAAUGUCAUCUCACCACAAAAGCAGUUAGAAGUUAGUUCCUUCAAACUCUUGUAAAAAUUCUUAUCCCCAUUGAACUCAUUUGGAACCACACAUAUACUGAAAAAUAAAGACAAAAUAUAUUUAUCUUC
ensembl:lncRNA